rnacentral:rRNA from 1 species
UACGAAGGGGGCUAGCGUUGCUCGGAAUCACUGGGCGUAAAGGGUGCGUAGGCGGGUCUUUAAGUCAGGGGUGAAAUCCUGGAGCUCAACUCCAGAACUGCCUUUGAUACUGAGGAUCUUGAGUUCGGGAGAGGUGAGUGGAACUGCGAGUGUAGAGGUGAAAUUCGUAGAUAUUCGCAAGAACACCAGUGGCGAAGGCGGCUCACUGGCCCGAUACUGACGCUGAGGCGCGAAAGCGUGGGGAGCAAGCAGG